rnacentral:lncRNA from 1 species
AGGGUCGAUUUGAAUUAUUUUCUCUUGAAUCUUGCUUGAAUCGAAGGCCUGAAUAGGCUUGAACCAAGCCUGGAUAGGGAUCAACCCUUGAACCCUUUUUGAUCUUUCUUUCUUUUUUGAUUCUUGAAGAAACCAAGAACCUUUCUUGAUUCUUGAAGAAACCAAGAACCUUUCUUGAUUUCUCAACUAAUUAAGUAGUAUCAAAAAGUAGUUGUAACAAACUCCCAACAAACUUGAAAGGAAGAAGAAACCAAGAACCUUGGCACCAACCCUUGACACUAUUGGAAAAGGUCACUUGAAAGGAAGAAGAAACAAAAGAUCAGUCACACAACUACAGCAUCGAGAUGAUCACUGACGAUUGAAUAAAAAUCCAUGUGAUCUCUCGUAUGGUCAUGCUCAGUACUAGUUCUCUAACAACGAUCCGUAUUUGCCGCUCAGUGUCUUUACACUGUAGAUUAGAGACUCAUCUACUCCGAAGAAAGUGAAUCGUGCGUUGGUCUAUUUGGAUAGAUCGUCGUCCCCAUGAC